GCGAAAGCAUUUGCCAAGAAUGUUUUCAUUAAUCAAGAACGAAAGUCAGAGGUGCGAAGGCGAUCAGAUACCGCCGUAGUUCUGACCGUAAACGAUGCCGAACUGGCAAUUGGGCGCACUUCUGUCGCGAAGUUGCCGCCAGCAGUACUGCCCGGGAAACCAAAGUCAUUGGGUUCCGGGGGAAGUAUGGUUGCAAAGCUGAAACUUAAAGGAAUUGACGGAAGGGCACCACCAGGAGUGGAGCCUGCGGCUUAAUUUGACUCAACACGGGAACCUCACCCGGCCGAACACUGUUAUGACAGACAGGUUGAGAGCUCUUUCUCGAUUCAGUGGUUGGUGGUGCAUGGCCGUUCUUAGUUCGUGGAGCGAUCUGUCUGGUUAAUUCCGAUAAGCAACGAGACUCUUGCCUGCUAAAUAGACGGCGCCGACACAGCACGGCGACCGUUUGCUUCUUAGAGGGACAAGCGGCUUUUAGCCGCGUGAAGCCGAGAGCAAUAACAGGUCUGUGAUGCCCUCAGAUGUUCGGGGCCGCACACGCGCUACACUGUUUGCAUCAGCGUGUUACUCCCGCGCCGGCUGGCGUGGGCAACCCGUUGAACCGCAAACGUGCUAGGGAUCGGAGAUUGCAAUUGUUCUCCGUGAACGAGGAAUUCCUUGUACUGGCGAGUCAUCAGCUCGCGGGGAAUCUGUCCCUGCCCUUUGUACACACCGCCCGUCGCUACUACCGAUUGAGUGGUUUAGUGAGGCUCACGGACUGCGCGCGGCACACGGCGUCUUCGGGCGUCGCGUCGCGAGGCGGAAAGUGAGACGAACUUGAUCACUUCUAGGAAGUAAAAGUCGUAACAAGGUUUUCGUAGGUGAACCUGCGGAAGGAUC
rnacentral:rRNA from 1 species